UACGUAGGGUGCAAGCGUUAAUCGGAAUUACUGGGCGUAAAGCGUGCGCAGGCGGCUUUGCAAGACAGAUGUGAAAUCCCCGGGCUUAACCUGGGAACUGCAUUUGUGACUGCAUGGCUGGAGUGCGGCAGAGGGGGAUGGAAUUCCGCGUGUAGCAGUGAAAUGCGUAGAUAUGCGGAGGAACACCGAUGGCGAAGGCAAUCCCCUGGGCCUGCACUGACGCUCAUGCACGAAAGCGUUGGGAGCAAACAGG
rnacentral:rRNA from 1 species